AGUCAUCCUGUCAAUCAGCUAUGGAGGACCACCUGCCAAGCAGAGGAGCACGCAAGCUGAGGACAAGAUUGUGACAUCAGCCCUGCCUUCUUUUACUAAGGGCCAAACUCCGAGACAUGGGUGGAGGGGGUUGGCAGCACCAGAACAGACAGAUGCUGUCACCUCGCACCCUCCUGGGUACACACUCUCACAAUGCUGCUAUCUGCCACGGGGACAGAAGAUGGCCAUGCGCUCUGCUUCCAGAUGCCUUGCAGUGGCAGAGCUGGGAUCUGGAAGAGUCCGAGACCAGGGAGCUCACGGGUGGCACUCCAGAUAGCCUCUCGUGUGCUGGAAUUCUCUAGAUGGUUUCCAUCAGCUGCCCUGACUUUCUGGGUCACGUCAGACUAUUUCUAGAUUAAUCUGUUGUGCAGCAAAACCUAAGGGCUGCACCCAGGAAUGGCAGGAUCAAGUCAAGGCAGAUUGAAAGGAGUUGGUCCCAACAGCCCCUACGGAGAUUGCAAGAUAAAAAUGUACAGCCAUAGGCCGCUGUGUUGCCACGGAACAUGCAGGGAGAUCUAGGAGCCCCUAUCACCUGCAGGGUAAACUCCUCAUGGGCCUGACUGUCUCUUCCCACUUAUCAUAAGACAAGCUCCCCCUUGGUAUGGCCUUCUUCCUGACUAUAUGGCCAUUUUCCAACAUGGCCUGAUCCUCCUGGUCAGGCAUAACAAUACCUUUAUUUCUAAAAAGUCAGGUGGAAAACCAGAACAGAAUGUUUAUGGUGUGUGUGUGUGUGUGUGUGUGUGUGUGUGUGUGUGUGUGUGUGUAUGUGUGUGUGUGUGUGUAAAAGAUAAAGAUACAUAAUCUAUGUAUCAGCUAUGUAUGUAUGUAUCCAUGUAUGUAUCCAUGUAUGUAUGUAUGUAUGUAUGUAUGUAUGUAUGUAUGUAUGUAUCUAUCUAUCUAUCUAUCUAUCUAUCUAUCUAUCUAUCUAUCUAUCUCUCUCUUUAUCUUUUGUAUUGUUUCACAAUACAAGCCCAAUAUUGGGACUUAGGUCAGGUCGGGGACUAGAUACUGACAUGUGGCUCAACUGUAAAGCAUCACACACAUGACUACAUUGCCCUGCUAACACAUUUAAGCACACUGUAGAACUGCAGGAUGUAUACAACAGCAAAAGGGUUCUGGGAGCAGUAAAGACAACUAUGGCAGUUGCAGGAGGCAGGGAACAGCCAAUUCAGACAGGCUGUCUUGCUAAGAGUCACCACUUUGCAUCACACCAUUUCAAAGAUCAGAAAACACCCCUGUUACCAGAAACCCCAGCUUUUGUUGGCACUGUUCUCGGCUCACAGGCCUUGUGGAGGCAAUGCCUCGGCACCGAUGUGCACCACACCACAAGGCCUGUUGAAAUCUCCCUGCCGUGCGCUAGUGGCCUUGACCUCUCUUGUAAUGAGGAAGGGAGCCUGAAGGUCAAUGUUUAUCCACCACAGAAACAAGGUGAGCCUGGAAUGAAGGAGGGCCAUGUGGGGUUACCCCAGGAGAAGCAAGGAGUGACCACAACCCAAAUAGGUACCAAAUAGGUGCACGGCAGGGCAGUGGCCCACUUAGGAUUCCACAAUCCCCUCAAACUGUGACAGAUACCGAGUGCACAGUAAAAUGCGUACCAUGAAGAA